rnacentral:rRNA from 1 species
GGGGGGGGGGGGGGGGGGGCGGGGGGGGGGCGGGGGGGCGGGGCGUUGGGUGUUGUGACUUAGAGUUGGGUGGCGGACGGGUGAGUGACGCGGAGAGAAAUUGCCUCACAGCUAGGGACGACAUUUGUGAACGAAUGCGAAUAACUGAUAUGAUGAGUAUAAGUCAUCUUAUAAUUAUGCAAGCUAUAUGCGCUGUGGGGGAGCUUUGCUUCCCAUUAGCUAGUUGGAGAGCGACCGGCUCACCAAGGCGAUGAUGGGUAGCCGGCCUGAGAGGGUGAACGGCCACAAGGGGACUGAGACACGGCCCUUACUCCGACGGGAGGCAGCAGUGGGGAAUAUUGGAAAAGGGACCAAGAGUCUGAUCCAGCAAUUCUGUGUGAACGAUGAAGUUUUUCGGAAUGUAAAGUGCUUUCAGUUGGGAAGAAAAAAAUGACGGCACCAACAGAAGAAGUGACGGCUAAAUACGUG